UGGGGGAUAUUGCACAAUGGGCGAAAGCCUGAUGCAGCGACGCCGCGUGGGGGAUGAAGGCCUUCGGGUUGUAAACUUCUUUUGCUCUGAACAAGGCAUGCUAAUGGGUGUGUUGAGUGUCGGGGUUGAUUAGCGCCGGCUACCUACGUGCCAGCAGCCGCGGUAAUACGUAGGGCGCGAGCGUUGUCCGGAAUUAUUGGGCGUAAAGGGCUUGUAGGUGGCUGGUUGCGUCUGUCGUGAAAGCUCAUGGCUUAACUGUGGGUUUGCGGUGGGUACGGGCUGGCUUGAGUGCAGUAGGGGAGGCUGGAAUUCCUGGUGUAGCGGUGGAAUGCGCAGAUAUCAGGAGGAAUGCCGGUGGCGAAGGCGGGUCUCUGGGCUGUUACUGACACUGAGGAGCGAAAGCAUGGGGAGCGAGCAGG
rnacentral:rRNA from 1 species